CACCUCUGGUAGGAUUUGAACCUACGACCUCCGAAUGUGGCACUCGGCGCGCUUGCCAACUACGCCACAGAGAC